GUGGGGAAUAUUGGACAAUGGGCGCAAGCCUGAUCCAGCCAUGCCGCGUGUGUGAAGAAGGCCUUUUGGUUGUAAAGCACUUUAAGCGAGGAGGAGGCUCCUUUAGUUAAUACCUAAAGAGAGUGGACGUUACUCGCAGAAUAAGCACCGGCUAACUCUGUGCCAGCAGCCGCGGUAAUACAGAGGGUGCGAGCGUUAAUCGGAUUUACUGUGCGUAAAGCGUGCGUAGGCGGCUUUUUAAGUCGGAUGUGAAAUCCCUGAGCUUAACUUAGGAAUUGCAUUCGAUACUGGAAAGCUAGAGUAUGGGAGAGGAUGGUAGAAUUCCAGGUGUAGCGGUGAAAUGCGUAGAGAUCUGGAGGAAUACCGAUGGCGAAGGCAGCCAUCUGGCCUAAUACUGACGCUGAGGUACGAAAGCAUGGGGAGCAAACAGGAUUAGAAACCCGUGUAGUCC
rnacentral:rRNA from 1 species